rnacentral:rRNA from 1 species
CAGUAGCCGCGGUAAUACGUAGGGUGCGAGCGUUAAUCGGAAUUACUGGGCGUAAAGCGUGCGCAGGCGGUUUUGUAAGACAGAGGUGAAAUCCCCGGGCUCAACCUGGGAACUGCCUUUGUGACUGCAAGGCUAGAGUACGGCAGAGGGGGAUGGAAUUCCGCGUGUAGCAGUGAAAUGCGUAGAUAUGCGGAGGAACACCGAUGGCGAAGGCAAUCCCCUGGGCCUGUACUGACGCUCAUGCACGAAAGCGUGGGGAGCAAACAGGAUUAGAUACCCCUGUAGUCCCUGUCUCUUAUAC